rnacentral:rRNA from 1 species
UGGGGAAUAUUGGACAAUGGGCGCAAGCCUGAUCCAGCCAUGCCGCGUGAGUGAUGAAGGCCCUAGGGUUGUAAAGCUCUUUCACCGGUGAAGAUAAUGACGGUAACCGGAGAAGAAGCCCCGGCUAACUUCGUGCCAGCAGCCGCGGUAAUACGAAGGGGGCUAGCGUUGUUCGGAUUUACUGGGCGUAAAGCGCACGUAGGCGGACUUUUAAGUCAGGGGUGAAAUCCCGGGGCUCAACCCCGGAACUGCCUUUGAUACUGGAAGUCUUGAGUAUGGUAGAGGUGAGUGGAAUUCCGAGUGUAGAGGUGAAAUUCGUAGAUAUUCGGAGGAACACCAGUGGCGAAGGCGGCGAACUGGACCAUUACUGACGCUGAGGUGCGAAAGCGUGGGGAGCAAACAGG